rnacentral:rRNA from 1 species
CCCCUUAUGAUUUGGGCUACACACGUGCUACAAUGGACAAUACAAAGGGCAGCGAAACCGCGAGGUCAAGCAAAUCCCAUAAAGUUGUUCUCAGUUCGGAUUGUAGUCUGCAACUCGACUACAUGAAGCUGGAAUCGCUAGUAAUCGUAGAUCAGCAUGCUACGGUGAAUACGUUCCCGGGUCUUGUACACACCGCCCGUCACACCACGAGAGUUUGUAACACCCGAAGCCGGUGGAGUAACCUUUUAGGAGCUAGCCGUCGAAGGUGGGACAAAUGAUUGGGGUGAAGUCGUAACAAGGUAGCCGUAUCGGAAGGUGCGGCUGGAUCACCUCCUUU